ACGUACACUCCUGCGGGAGGCAGCAGUGGGGAAUAUUGGACAAUGGGCGCAAGCCUGAUCCAGCCAUGCCGCGUGAGUGAUGAAGGCCCUAGGGUUGUAAAGCUCUUUCACCGGAGAAGAUAAUGACGGUAUCCGGAGAAGAAGCCCCGGCUAACUUCGUGCCAGCAGCCGCGGUAAUACGAAGGGGGCUAGCGUUGUUCGGAAUUACUGGGCGUAAAGCGCACGUAGGCGGAUCGAUCAGUCAGGGGUGAAAUCCCAGGGCUCAACCCUGGAACUGCCUUUGAUACUGUCGAUCUGGAGUAUGGAAGAGGUGAGUGGAAUUCCGAGUGUAGAGGUGAAAUUCGUAGAUAUUCGGAGGAACACCAGUGGCGAAGGCGGCUCACUGGUCCAUUACUGACGCUGAGGUGCGAAAGCGUGGGGAGCAAACAGGAUUAGAUAUCCCAGUAGUCCCAUG
rnacentral:rRNA from 1 species